UACGUAGGGUGCAAGCGUUGUCCGGAAUUAUUGGGCGUAAAGAGCUUGUAGGCGGUUUGUCACGUCUGCUGUGAAAUUUCGGGGCUCAACCCCGAACUUGCAGUGGGUACGGGCAGACUAGAGUGUGGUAGGGGAGACUGGAAUUCCUGGUGUAGCGGUGAAAUGCGCAGAUAUCAGGAGGAACACCGAUGGCGAAGGCAGGUCUCUGGGCCACUACUGACGCUGAGAAGCGAAAGCAUGGGGAGCGAACAGG
rnacentral:rRNA from 1 species